AGCUUUUUGAAUCCGUAAAGAGAUUUUGUCAGAAACUAACCCAUUAGCAAUGAUCAGACUUCCAAGAUAAGUGAAGUU
rnacentral:pre_miRNA from 1 species